rnacentral:rRNA from 1 species
GACGAACGCUGGCGGCGUGCCUAAUACAUGCAAGUCGAACGCAGUGGGGACGGGUGAGUAACACGUGGGUAAACUCACAUCAGAGGGGAUAACACUUGGAAACAGGUGCUAAACCGAUACUGAUGGAUGAACCCGCGGUGCAUUAGCUAGUUGGUGAGGUAACGGCUCACCAAGGCCACGAUGCAUAGCCUGCCUGCGAGGGUGACCGGCCACACUGGAACUGAGACACGGCCCAGAAUCCUACGGGAGGCAGCAGUAGGGAAUCUUCGUCAAUGGACGAAAGUCUGACCGAGCAACGCCUGGGGGGUGAAGAAGGUUUUCGGAUCGUAAAGCUCUGUUGUUAGGGAAGCGUUAUCUAACCAGAAAGCCACGGCUAACUACGUGCCAGCAGCCGCGGUAAUAC